AUCAGGAAUCUUGCGCAAUGGGCGAAAGCCUGACGCAGCGAUGCCGCGUGGACGAUGAAGUCUUUCGGGAUGUAAAGUCCUUUUUCGGGGGAAGAUGAUGACGGUACCCCGAGAAUAAGCCCCGGCUAACUACGUGCCAGCAGCCGCGGUAAUACGUAGGGGGCGAGCGUUGUCCGGAAUUACUGGGCGUAAAGGGCGCGCAGGCGGUCGUGUAAGUCCGCUGUGAAAGACCGGGGCUCAACCCCGGGGUGUCAGCGGGGACUGCUCGACUGGAGUCUCGGAGAGGGAUGCGGAAUACCUGGUGUAGCGGUGGAAUGCGUAGAGAUCAGGUGGAACACCGAUGGCGAAGGCAGCAUCCUGGACGAGUACUGACGCUGAGGCGCGAAAGCGUGGGGAGCGAACGG
rnacentral:rRNA from 1 species